GGGAGCAGCGGGGCGGGCACUCGGCACCGCCUCCCGGCCGCGCUCCGCGCGAAUCGAAACCGAAGGCACGGGUGCGGCUCCAGCGGCGCUGGGGACAGGGAUCCGCCCAGCCCGGAGGCCUUCUCGGCUGAACGUCACGCGGGAAGUUAAUGCAAGAAGUGAUUGAAAGGACUGCGAGGUUUCCUUGUUAUUGUCACGGAAUCCAACGGUUUGGGUUGGGAAGGUCUUAAAGAUCAUCUCCUUCCACCCUCUAUGCUGGGCAGUCUCCUUGCACUAGACCAGGUUGCUCCAUGCCCCAUCCAGCCUGGCCUGGACACUUCCAAGAUGAGGCAGCCGCAUUUCUUCACCUUGCUAACUUUUGCUCUCUACACUAACACGAAUCUAGUGCAGAGCAUUAAGCAUAUAAUGCCGGAUAACACAAAUUACUUUAGUAUUUAUAAAGCAAUGCCAUUACUUUUCUUUCUUCCCGCUUGGCAGCGAGCUGCUGAUUAGCACUGGUUGCAGCAGUGUCCUGGCAGGGCUGUGAAACUGUGCUGGUUUUGGCUGGAGUAGGGUUCGUUUUCUUCAAGUGGCUGCUGUGGGGCUGUGUUUUGGAUUUGUCCUGAACAUAGGAAUGAUAGCAGAGUUGUUUUCAUUAUUGCCGAGCAGUGCUUGCUCAGAGCCAAGGUCUUUCCUACUCCUUGUACUGCCACGCUGGAGAGGGAGCUGGGGUGCGUGGGAAGCUGGGAGGGGUUGGGGGUGGGAGGAGGAAGGCUGGGACAUUCGGCGUUACAACAUUUGUCUUCCCAGGACACGGUGACACACGAUGGGGCCCUGGUGUCCUGGAGAUGGCUGAACACCUGCCUACCCUUGGGAAGCGGGCAAUUCAUUCCUUUAUUUGUUUUGCUUGUGUGUGCAGCCUUUGCUUUCCCUAUUACAUUGUCUUUAUCUCAAUCCAGGAGUUUUCCAGCUUUUACCCUUCUGAUUCUCUCCCCAGUCCUGCUGGUGGCGAGUGAGUGAGUAGCUGCCUGGGCCAGAAGCAGAAGUGCCAGGUUCCUCUUAGUGUUGAAGUAGGGCUGGGGAGGGUCUGUGCGAUGGGGAAGAAGCACAGCAAAUACUGCCUCGGAAGAGGGUUGACAAUUAAAUCCAUUUGAGAUUAACUUUUAUACUGAAACCCUUUGGAAAUGUACCUUUCAGGCACAUUUUCAACUGCUCCCUCUGGAUCAGGAAGUUAACCUUGAAAAUAGAGUGAGUGGCCUGUGUUGCCUAUUGCUGAUGUCUCAUUUGAAAGGCAUGUGAAACUACAAAGUUAGUUCAUAAAGAGAGAACUACCUCCAGGAAUACAGCCAAGGUGGUACUGCCUGUGUGAAAGCAUACAUUUCUGCAUUAAUCCACUCAGAAAUCUGAACUACUGGCCUGAGGAGUUUUGCUGUAUACUUCAUUGGAACAGUAUUAACAGUAUGGAGCAGUAAAGUGAAGUACUGCAAGCAGAAAGAAACUACAAAUGCAGUCUUGGCAAGCAGUAUCUAUUCUCCACUUAAGUACAUUCAAAGAAGGGUUUUGGAUCAGGCCUGAGUAAAAGCAAACAAAGAAACAUUGCUGGAUUUAUCCUGUUUGUUACUAUGUUUUGCAACUACGAAUGCCCAAACACUUCCUCAGCAGCUUUAAACAGGACCAAUUUAUGUGAAACAACACAACUGGGUGAGGCAAAAGGGAUCACUGUAUGAAGGAGUCCCAAAAUGGUGUUAUUUUCAUAGUGACUCCAACCUCAAGUAUCAACCCUUUGGUUAAAGUUAGAAACCAGUUAGAUCCAGUGUGGCUGGAUUGCUGUAACCUCUUGCUACCCUGUAAAUCUUUCUCUCAGGUGUCCUCCACUUGCAGCUGAAAUAUUUCCUUAUUUGCCCUGACUCUGGUAUUCUGCUGACUUUGUAGUAAGCAAAAUCAGUUUUCAGAGACUUGAAACUGAAGUAUUGAUUGGUAUGAACAAAGUAUGAAUAGAAGUGGCUGUGUGCAAGCACCAGAAGAAACAGCAGAGCAAAGGCUAAAAGAAUAGCCUGUGUAAACAACCAAAACCACAGCUUCAGGCAGUAAAAUGGAGAACUGAAUUGUUUUUUCUCAAAGCGGAAGUUUUGCAUUCUGUAGCACAGACACCUUGUCAGCAGAAAAUCCUACCAUUUGACAUGCUGGAUGUGGCAGGAAGAUACAGUACAUCACAAGUGACAUUUAUUUCCUGUUGAUUCAACUGGGAGCAGACCACAGAACGUGGAAACAGAAAAUAACCAGAGAAGUUCCAUGAUGUGCAUGGAGGCAGCAGUAGCCAGACCAUGAAGCAAAAGGAUGCUACCACUGUCAGUGCUAAACCCACAAGCUUUCACAGGCAGUUUCUCCCUGCCAGUGGAAAAUAACGCAAGCGAUAACAAAAGGGUGUGGUGGUUGGUGCCCAUCUUCCUUUUUGUUACAUGCAACAUGGAUCCUGGUGAAACCAGCACCCCUCCAGGGCUGUGAGUAUGGGGAUCUGACAGUGUGAACAGAGUUGGAUAAAUAGAAUGAAUGUGAAUGAAAGCUGGGGAACUGAGUGAAAUGAAUGCAUACCUAAAUGCAACUUCUGUAGCUUGACUGUGUGCAGAUGGAUUUUGGAAAAAAUGUGCCUCGUCUGAUGUAUCUGCAGUCGAAGCGCAGGGCGUGAUGACACACUGGAUUCUGUGGAGCUGCCUGCUCUGUGUGAAGCAGAGGCUAUUCCUGCUCUAAAGUUGGUGCAGCUGAAGUCCCAGCUUCCCUGGUGACUCUGACUGCAUCAGCAGUUCUUCCCUGCGGGGAUAAAGAAAGUAUGCAGCAACACCCCGGGAAUGAUGCUGUCAAACCGGCUUCCUCUGUUUUUUUUUUAUGGCGUGUGACCUGUUCACUUUGUCUUUUCCUCCAUUCUACUUCUUGAAAUGCCUCUUUCAGGUCUCAGCUUUGGCUCACCUCUGUCCCACGCCCAACUCUUUUUCUUGAUUUGGAUUCCCCAGACUAUUUCAAAAAGCAUUUUGCAGAACGUCUUGGCACCACUGUCUUGUUCCCUGCCCCCUGCCCCAUUUCUUACACAGCCCUCCACCAGUUCAGUAUUGUUUGCUUACUUAGCUAAUGGUAUACAAUUUGCCUGAGGCUUUCCAUAUAA